CAUUUACGUAAAUGGAUCUGCUCUGAAGAACUGUUUUUCUUUUGUAUCAACAAAGAGUUGGAAGUAGAGAACGGAGAUUUGAGGUCAUCUGUCAGUGAUAAUUCUUCAGUUGCUACUGAAAAUCGAGAUGGAUGCAAAUACAACUCAAAGUGAAGCUGCAACUGAAAUUGGUUCCUCUAUUCACC